UACGUAGGGUGCAAGCGUUUAUCGGAAUUACUGGGCGUAAAGCGUGCGUAGACGGUUAUGUAAGUCGGGUGUGAAAGCCCCGGGCUCAACCUGGGAAUUGCAUUCGAGACUGCAUAGCUAGGGUGCGGAAGAGGGAAGCGGAAUUUCCGGUGUAGCGGUGAAAUGCGUAGAUAUCGGAAGGAACACCAGUGGCGAAAGCGGCUUCCUGGUCCAGCACCGACGUUCAGGCACGAAAGCGUGGGGAGCAAACAGG
rnacentral:rRNA from 1 species